GAGACCUAAGAACGAGAGGCUCCCCUUCUCUUAAAAAGCUUCAGCAAACGGUGGAUUUUCCCUCUUUCCAAAACCGAACACCCCCUAAUUCGUUUUCCUCAUUCUCGGCAGAAGAGAAUGAACCAGCUUCUCUAACUCAUUCCUCAUUGAAGAAACAGACCCCUCCCCUUUCGUCUCUCUCUGAAAGCGGCUGAAAUCUCCUCCUGAAAUGAAGCCGCCGCUGACAUCUUCUUCUCAACCCCCCACUAGAGCCUGACGGAUCUGGAAAAAAAUCCAGAUCUGAGAUUUUAGAAAGAGCUAAAAAAACACAAAACAAAGACAAAAAUAAGAGGAGAUUUCAAGGUUGUUGUUGACUUUGUUCCGUUGCUAUUUUCAACUUCUGUGUCUUAGCUUCAUAAUUUCCGGAAAUCUGAAGCGAUUGAAUCGAUGUCCGCUGCUACUCUGUUGGCUCGCCUGUUCUACUUUCUAUUUAGCAAUUCUGAAGUUUUCACCUUGUUCUUGAGAUUCAGGCAUAUCUGGUCCCGCUCCCGAGUGCUGAUCAUUUUCGGCCCAAGCAGAUCCGUGGAGUCUCUAGGUAGCUAUUGGCGUUCGUAGCCCGGAGCUCUUCCCUAUCUUACUUCUUCAUGUUCUUGGUUUUCUAUAUUAAACUCUGUAGUUUGAUUUGGAGUAUUCUGUUUUGUUAGAUGCUCAUGACUAGUGACACCCCGGUAUCGGGUUGUGUUGGGUUAUUUUCUGCGAAUUAUGAUAUUAACUGCUUAAACCCUGGUUUAUUUGAU